AAGAAAACUGUGAUAGGAAAUAGUAAAUGUAAUUUAUAUUUUAAAGAGAGUGGGGAAAGGUGAAAACCCAUAGAUAUUGUACAUUGAACUCAUCCUUGAGUUAUAGGCUGAAAUUAUAGUAAGCUGUAUCGGCAAAAUGCCGUUAUUGAAUUGAGUAAUAAUUUGGGUGGUACCGCGAACAGACUUCUCGCCCCAAGA
rnacentral:ncRNA from 1 species